UGGGGAAUAUUGGGCAAUGGGCGCAAGCCUGACCCAGCAACGCCGCGUGAGGGAAGAAGUAUUUCGGUAUGUAAAGCUCUAUCAGCAGGGAAGAAGAUGACGGUACCUGACUAAGAAGCACCGGCUAAAUACGUGCCAGCAGCCGCGGUAAUACGUAUGGUGCAAGCGUUAUCCGGAUUUACUGGGUGUAAAGGGAGCGUAGGUGGCAAGGCAAGCCAGAAGUGAAAACCCGGGGCUCAACCGCGGGAUUGCUUUUGGAACUGUCAUGCUGGAGUGCAGGAGGGGUGAGCGGAAUUCCUAGUGUAGCGGUGAAAUGCGUAGAUAUUAGGAGGAACACCGGAGGCGAAGGCGGCUCACUGGACUGUAACUGACACUGAGGCUCGAAAGCGUGGGGAGCAAACAGGAUUAGAUACCCUGGUAGU
rnacentral:rRNA from 1 species